CCUACGGGUGGCUGCAGUGGGGAAUUUUGGACAAUGGGGGCAACCCUGAUCCAGCCAUGCCGCGUGAGUGAAGAAGGCCUUCGGGUUGUAAAGCUCUUUCGGCCGGGAAGAAAUCGCUCACGCUAAUACCUUGGGUGGAUGACGGUACCGGAAGAAGAAGCACCGGCUAACUACGUGCCAGCAGCCGCGGUAAUACGUAGGGUGCGAGCGUUGAUCGGAAUUACUGGGCGUAAAGCGUGAAGAGGCGGCGGAAAUCGCCGGGCUUAACCUGGGAACUGCGGUUGUGACGGUGGUGCUAGAGUGCGGCAGAGGGGGGUGGAAUGCCACGUGUAGCAGUGAAAUGCGUAGAGAUGUGGAGGAACACCGAUGGCGAAGGCAGCCCCCUGGGUCGACACUGACGCUCAGGCACGAAAGCGUGGGGAGCAAACAGGAUUAGAUACCCCGGUAGUC
rnacentral:rRNA from 1 species